rnacentral:rRNA from 1 species
CUAACUGGAGGACCGAACCGACUAAUGUUGAAAAAUUAGCGGAUGACUUGUGGCUGGGGGUGAAAGGCCAAUCAAACCGGGAGAUAGCUGGUUCUCCCCGAAAGCUAUUUAGGUAGCGCCUCGUGAAUUCAUCUCCGGGGGUAGAGCACUGUUUCGGCUAGGGGGCCAUCCCGGCUUACCAACCCGAUGCAAACUGCGAAUACCGGAGAAUGUUAUCACGGGAGACACACGGCGGGUGCUAACGUCCGUCGUGAA